AGAAUCAACGCUGGCGGCGCGCUUAACACAUGCAAGCCGCACGGGAAAGCAGGAGCAAUCUUGUGAGUAAAGUGGCGUACGGGUGAGUAACACGUGGAUCAUCUACCUUUUAGUGGGGAAUACCCCCGGGAAACUGGGGACAAUACCGCAUAAGCUCGAGAGAGGAAAGCAGCAAUGCGCUGAAAGAGGAGUCCGCGGCUGAUUAGCUAGAUGGCGGGGUAGCGGCCCACCAUGGCGACGAUCGGUAGCCGGCCUGAGAGGGCACACGGCCACACUGGCACUGAGACACGGGCCAGACUCCUACGGGAGGCAGCAGUGGGGAAUCUUGCACAAUGGGGGAAACCCUGAUGCAGCGACGCCGCGUGAGCGAUGAAGCCCUUCGGGGUGUAAAGCUCUUUCGACGGGAACGAUAAUGACGGUACCCGGAGAAGAAGCUGCGGCUAACUACGUGCCAGCAGCCGCGGUAAUACGUAGGCAGCAAGCGUUGUUCGGAAUUACUGGGCGUAAAGAGUGUGUAGGCGGUGCUCUAAGUCUGUCGUGAAAUCUCCCGGCUUAACUGGGAGGGUGCGGCGGAAACUGGAGUGCUCGAGGGUGGGAGAGGUAAGCGGAAUUCCUGGUGUAGCGGUGAAAUGCGUAGAUAUCAGGAGGAACACCUGUGGUGUAGACAGCUUACUGGACCACUUCUGACGCUGAGACACGAAAGCGUGGGUAGCAAACAGGAUUAGAUACCCUGGUAGUCCUAGCCCUAAACGAUGAUUGCUUGGUGUGGGGUACCCAAUCCCGCCGUGCCGUAGCUAACGCGUUAAGCAAUCCGCCUGGGGGAGUACGGUCGCAAGGCUGAA
rnacentral:rRNA from 1 species